UACGUAGGGGGCUAGCGUUGUCCGGAAUUACUGGGCGUAAAGUGUGCGCAGGCGGCGCUGCAAGUCGAGUGUGAAAUCCCCGAGCUUAACUUGGGAAUUGCGCUCGAAACUACGGCGCUGGAGUAUGGCAGAGGAAGGUGGAAUUCCACGUGUAGCGGUGAAAUGCGUAGAGAUGUGGAGGAACACCGAUGGCGAAGGCAGCCUUCUGGGCCAAUACUGACGCUCAUGCACGAAAGCGUGGGGAGCAAACAGG
rnacentral:rRNA from 1 species